AACCUAUCUUUGAACGUCAAAAAAAAAAAAGAAAAGUAAAAAAGGAUAUGAAAAUAAAGAAUUGCAGAGAAAGAAAAUAUUCUCAGAACACGAAUGUCAAGUCAGAGCCCCUCUGAAGAACAAGAAGAUGUAUAAAAAACGCUUU